AUGUGUCCCAGAGGAGCCGCAUUAUAGCACAGAGUACAGUGCCCUUGGGGAGCUCAGGACAAACUACCCAAUGUCUGCCUGGGUAAGACAUAACAGCAGAAAAAAAAGAAUUGAGGUUUGAGACAGAAGGGAAGGUUGGGACGUAGAGGCCAAGAGUUGCCCUCUCGACUCAACUUCUUCAAAACGGGUGCCGUUUAUCAGCUGCCGUACUAGGGCUGACAGCGUCGAACGGUUAUAUAAAUCCUAAAUGAGGUGAAAAGAAAGAGCUCGUGGAUGUAACCCAACCUACAGUCUGGGAGCUGUGGGAAGGUGCUGGUGUAAGAGCUGUCUUUGCACUGUGGUUUGGCUCUAACAAAGGGUGCGAGAACUGGGAAUCACGGACUACUCAUUUCUAAACUGUAUCCAAAGGGGGCGUCAGAGACUCUUAGGCUUUAAUUUCUUCUGAAACUGGAGAUAGUGGAAUCAGUUUCCUCGUUUCUAGCACAAUUAAUGAGGUGGUUAACUCCACCCCAGCCCCAGUUUAUCUUGGGGUUAUGCCCAAUUCUGAGCACAACUCUGAAGGAGAUGUAGCAACAAACUUCUUGGCCAUUGAUGGCUCCUGCUUUUCUUUAAAUGACUUGAGGAAAUACAGCUAGUUUCAGCUACCUAAGCAAGGAAGGUGCAGGACUGUGAAAUACAAUGACCUUAAAAGGUCAAAACAGGGAAAGGCUGUGCUUCAGUGCCUCUGCUUUGGACAAACUUUGGCUUUCCCAGUAUUGAUGAAAAAUUAAACAAAAUCAAUACUGGUGGGGUAAGGAUUCCAACAGGACUCACAUUCAGGAUCCAGAUGCACUCGAGAGCUCAUCAGUCCCCCCUCCCAUAUAUUGCAAGGUCAAAUGAAAAGGGCACCACACAACGUAAAUCCAAAAUCACCUCCGCGUCCUCAUAGCCAUUUGAAAAGUACUCAGCUAAAUAUAUUCCUUUGGCCAAAACCAUUCUGCUUUCUGCAACAGGGUGAUAUCACAGCCUCAAUAAUAAAUAAACAAGCAAACAAAGAAGCAAAAACCUACUGGAGUGUGUUAUGCAAUGUCAUCUAGAGGAAAAAUACUCUAGCGUCUGAUUGGCCAAAGUCAGUCAUGCUGCAUAUACUUCUCACGACUUAGGUAUUGGGAAUGACCUCAGAGACAAAGGAAAUAUUGGCGCUAUGACACUAGUGGGAGAGCAGACAGGUCUGCAGUGGACAUGGUAUGCGCAUACUCUAAAAUAGCCUGAACAGAUAGGAGCAUGAAGCCCCAAUGUGUGCACAAUACUAGCGGGGUAGCCAAAUAAUGUAUAGAUAUGA